CAGUCGCCACGGUAAUACGAAGGGGGCUAGCGUUGUUCGGAUUUACUGGGCGUAAAGGGUGCGUAGGCGGAUUGUUAAGUCAGGGGUGAAAUCCCGAGGCUCAACCUCGGAACUGCCUUUGAUACUGGCGAUCUUGAGUCCGGGAGAGGUGAGUGGAACUGCGAGUGUAGAGGUGAAAUUCGUAGAUAUUGGGAAGAACACCGGUGGCGAAGGCGGCGACCUGGUCCUUGACUGACGCUGAGGCGCGAAAGCGUGGGGAGCAAACAGGAUUAGAUACCCCUGUAGUCCCUGUCUCUUAUAC
rnacentral:rRNA from 1 species